GACGAACGCUGGCGGCGUGCCUAAUACAUGCAAGUCGAACGCAGUGGGGACGGGUGAGUAACACGUGGGUAACCUCGCAUCAGAGGGGAUAACACUUGGAAACAGCUGCUAAACCGAUACUGAUGGAUGGACUGGCGGGGCAUUAGCUAGUGGGUGGGGUAACGGCUCACCAAGGCCACGAUGCAUAGCCGGCCUGAGAGGGUGACCGGCCAAACUGGGACUGAGACACGGCCCAGACUCCUACGGGAGGCAGCAGUAGGGAAUCUUCGGCAAUGGGCGAAAGCCUGAUCGAGCAACGCCGCGUGAGUGAAGAAGGUUUUCGGGUUGUAAAACUCUGUUGUUAGGGAAGCGGUACCUAAACAGAAAGCCACGGCUAACUACGUGCCAGCAGCCGCGGUAAUAC
rnacentral:rRNA from 1 species